rnacentral:rRNA from 1 species
UGGGGAAUAUUGCACAAUGGGGGAAACCCUGAUGCAGCAACGCCGCGUGAGUGAAGAAGUAUUUCGGUAUGUAAAGCUCUAUCAGCAGGGAAGAGAAUGACGGUACCUGCUAAGAAGCCCCGGCUAACUACGUGCC